GAACUGAAACAUCUAAGUACCCGGAGGAAAGGACAUCAACCGAGACUCCGUUAGUAGUGGCGAGCGAACGCGGACCAGGCCUGUGAUAUUUCUGUAAGAACUGGAAGCUUCUGGAAAGUUGCGCCGCAGCGGGUGAUAGCCCCGUACAGGUAGAAAUCAGAUUUAUCCUCGAGUAGGGCGGGACACGUGAAAUCCUGUCUGAACGUGGGGGGACCACCCUCCAAGCCUAAGUACUCCUCAGCGACCGAUAGUGAACCAGUACCGUGAGGGAAAGGUGAAAAGCACCCCGACAAGGGGAGUGAAA
rnacentral:rRNA from 1 species